rnacentral:rRNA from 1 species
AUUGAACGCUGGCGGAAUGCUUUACACAUGCAAGUCGAACGGUAGAGGGGCAACCCUUGAGAGUGGCGAACGGGUGAGUAAUGUAUCGGAACAUGCCCAAUCGUGGGGGAUAACGUAGCGAAAGUUACGCUAAUACCGCAUACGAUCUACGGAUGAAAGCGGGGGAUCGCAAGACCUCGCGCGAUUGGAGUGGCCGAUAUCAGAUUAGGUAGUUGGUGGGGUAAAGGCCUACCAAGCCGACGAUCUGUAGCUGGUCUGAGAGGACGACCAGCCACACGGGGACUGAGACACGGCCCAGACUCCUACGGGAGGCAGCAGUGGGGAAUUUUGGACAAUGGGCGCAAGCCUGAUCCAGCCAUUCCGCGCGCAGGAAGAAGGCCUUCGGGUUGUAAACUGCUUUUGUACGGAACGAAACGCGCUGUGCUAAUACCACGGCGUAAUGACGGUACCGUAAGAAUAAGCACCGGCUAACUACGUGCCAGCCGCCGCCGUAA